AGAAAAUAGUUUAUUAAAAAUUUUAAUUUUGGGGAUUAAAGAUGGGAUUUUCUCUUUUUCUGAA
rnacentral:tRNA from 1 species